AGCAGCUGCUGAGGGAGCUGAGGGAGUUGUGGGAAGAGUGGUGGGAGCAGCAGGAUGUGCCAGCACAGGAACGUAGCACUGACCCCUCUGCAAGCCACUGCACGCCAAGGUUUUAGCAAGGAGGAUUAGCUCCCAUUAGUGCCAGGUCCCACAAGUGUGCCCUUGUGCCACUGUGUGCCUUGGAAGCUGGGAAAUGACUGGAGGCACACACACGAGAGCAUCUGUGGUGUUGCUGCGAUUGUCUGAGGAUACAGAGGGAAGCACAGACUGCAGGGAGGGACAAGAUCUUUUAUGACACCCACUGUCGCAGACGGAACAAGUGAUUGUGUCCCCAUCACAACCAGAUGUGAGCCCUCUUUUGGGAAAAUGGUUUAGACCUCCACAUCCUUGAGCAGUUUAAUUCUACAGUGGAGAGAAGCUCGACAGCAAAACUGCCAGAGCAAGGAGAAUAUGUGUGCAGUUGAGCCAAUGAUAGAUCCUGUGGGAAUCUGCUUCCAGCCUCAGGGAAGCCCUUCCAGACCACAGCCUGCCAAGGCUGCUGGAACAGACCUCCCUCCCUGAUGCUCCCUGAUCCACGUCACCACAAGGAGAUGCCCACAGGCCUCGCUCCAUUGCCUCCUCCCCAAAGGAGUCAUCCAGAGUGCCAGCAAGAGGAAAGAAAAAAGACAAUCACCUAUUCACUUUUUGCCCGUGCCCGGCUAACUGUAGAAUCAGAGCAGAUCUCAUCUUGCUUAAAAUGAAGCCCAGAUGUAGUCCUUGGAAGGCUGGGGAAUAGCUUUUGAUCCAGAAGGCAUGUAACAUCACCCACAGCAAAUUGAGGACCUGCUUGUUACCUUCCAACCUGGCUUAGCUACAUGUUUAAAAUAAGGGAAAUGAUCCUCAAUCCAGGUAUAGAUGUCCUUCAGCGUCAUGCGCUUCUUCUCCGUGCUGUUGAUGGCAAACUGGAUCAUGGCCAUGUAGGAGUAAGGAGGUCGUUCUGACACCGAAUCCUGCCAUGAGGAGGACUCAGCAGCAGUAGGAAUAGCAGCAGCAGCUUCCUCUUCAGUCUGAAAGACAGAAAGAGUGAU